CUAAAACUCUACCGUAAAAAAAAAAACUAUUUUUAAUAGUUAUACUUUAUGUCUUCGUUUGGUUCAGAAUUAAGUAAAAACUAGUUAUUUCAGGAAUAGAAUUAAUUUCUGGGUUAAAUCUGUGAUAGAUCAAUUUUGAGUUUGGAUUAUUAAUUGAGUUAUUCUGGGGAUUAAAGAAAAAUAGCGGCUAGAUAGAUAAAAUGGAAUAAAAAGAAUAGUGGGUAGUUAUAAAUAUAAAAUAAUAAUAUUGCCCAAAUUAUUAUAUUUGAAUUUAAAUUUUUUAUUUUUUUAUUUAAAAUUUCAAAUUAAAUAGACAACUUUUAUAAUUAAAAAAUUCAAAAUUAAAAUCUAUAUUUUUAAAUCUCAAAAUUAAAAAUUUAAAGUUAUAAAUUUUAAUUUUAAAUUUUAAAUCAAAUAUAACAAAUAAAAUUUCAAAUAAAAAAUGUCAAAUUUAAAAUUUAAAUAAUUAAAAAUAAAAUUUAAAAUUUAAAAUUUAAAAUUAAAAUCUGCAUUGUUAAAUCUCAAAUUUAAAAAUUUAAAUUUAUAACUUUUAAGUUUUAAAUUUUAAAUCAAAUCUCAAGUUACAAAUAUAAAAUUUAAAUAAUAAUCUUAAUCUAAAAUUUAAAUAUUUAUUUUAAAAUUUAAAAUUAUAAAUUUUUUAAAUUUAAAAUUUAAAAUUUAUAUUUAAAAAUUAAAUAGGGGUA
rnacentral:lncRNA from 1 species